GUAUUGAUUGGUGCUUGCAUCAUGAUUUACAUUUGAGUGAGUGGCGAACUGGUGAGUAACACGUGGGAAACCUGCCCAGAAGCGGGGGAUAACACCUGGAAACAGAUGCUAAUACCGCAUAACAACUUGGACCGCAUGGUCCGAGCUUGAAAGAUGGCUUCGGCUAUCACUUUUGGAUGGUCCCGCGGCGUAUUAGCUAGAUGGUGGGGUAACGGCUCACCAUGGCAAUGAUACGUAGCCGACCUGAGAGGGUAAUCGGCCACAUUGGGACUGAGACACGGCCCAAACUCCUACGGGAGCAGCAGUAGG
rnacentral:rRNA from 2 species